UCCCGCUUAUCACGGGCAGUUUCCUUAGAGUGCCCACCAUUACGUGCUGGUAACUAAGGACGAGGGUUGCGCUCGUUGCGGGACUUAACCCAACAUCUCACGACACGAGCUGACGACAGCCAUGCAACACCUGUCUUCCCUCCGGCCGAACCGAGGGAGCACUAUUACGUGCUCCUGUAAGGGAGAUGUCAAAAGGUGGUAAGGUUUUUCGCGUAGCAUCGAAUUAAACCACAUGCUCCACCACUUGUGCGGGUCCCCGUCAAUUCCUUUGAGUUUUAAUCUUGCGACCGUACUCCCCAGGCGGGGUGCUUAACGCGUUAGCUACGACACUGAAGCUUAAGCCCCAAUAUCUAGCACCCAUCGUUUACAGCGUGGACUAC
rnacentral:misc_RNA from 1 species